rnacentral:misc_RNA from 1 species
GAUGAAGAACGUAGCGAAAUGCGAUAAGUAAUGUGAAUUGCAGAAUUCAGUGAAUCAUCGAAUCUUUGAACGCACCUUGCGCCUUUUGGUAUUCCGAAAGGCACACCUGUUUGAGCGUCAUGAAUACCUCAAUCUCCAUCUUUUCUUCGGAUUGAUGGGUGACUUGGAUGUUGAGCCCUGCUGGUAUGCUAUAUCAGCUGGCUUUAAACUUAUUAGCCGGCUCUGUACUGGAUCGGUUUGACUCGACGUGAUAAUAUUAUCGUUGAGGAUGCAUGUCUCAUGCAGCCGGAAAGUAUCAAAGCAGCUUCUAGCUUGCCUUUAGUGCACUUCUACAUUUUAGACCUCAGAUCAGGUGGGACUACCCGCUGAACUUAAGCAUAUCAAUAAGCGGAGGA